GAUGAAGAACGUAGCGAAAUGCGAUAAGUAAUGUGAAUUGCAGAAUUCAGUGAAUCAUCGAAUCUUUGAACGCACAUUGCGCCCCCUGGUAUUCCGGGGGGCAUGCCUGUUCGAGCGUCAUUUCACCACUCAAGCCUCGCUUGGUAUUGGGCAACGCGGUCCGCCGCGUGCCUCAAAUCGACCGGCUGGGUCUUCUGUCCCCUAAGCGUUGUGGAAACUAUUCGCUAAAGGGUGUUCGGGAGGCUACGCCGUAAAACAACCCCAUUUCCAAGGUUGACCUCGGAUCAGGUAGGGAUACCCGCUGAACUUAAGCAUAUCAAUAAGCGGAGGA
rnacentral:misc_RNA from 1 species